AGUAUACAAGUCCCCUUUUGUUUCCUUGUUUCAUUUUCAUGCUUUGCUUUCUCUCUCUAAGGUCGGUUCUCUCUGGCCUCUCUUUAAACUCCAGAUGCAUGUAGCCGCCUAUUUCAAGCAACCCAAAAAUUGGUGGUCCCCCCCAUGUUGGCCACCUUGUUCUGUCGUCGGCUACCGCACUCCGUCACUAGCCAGAAUCCGAUCAAAUCCAAAAUUUCACUAUCGCUUCCUCUUGACCUCCUCGUCUUAGAUCUGGGAUUAGAUUUUCAAAAAUCAUCCUCCAAUGGCCUAGAUUCGAAGCUGAAUACACGUUUCACUUUUCGCUAUCUAAUCUGGCUGAGAUUUUAGUAUGGUAAAAUGAGCACAAGGUGGUGUCGGCUUUGAAGGGAAAUGUGGCAAGGAGAUUCUAUUACUGUUAGAGAUAAAAGAGUUAUGGUGGAUGUUAGCAAGCUGGUGUGAGGGCAAUAGUGAUGAUGUUGCUGACGGAAUGUGUUUAAGGUAGACUAGGUGAUGGUUGAAGCUGAAUUGAUGAUGAUAACUGUUGGGCCAUUGAAUAUUUGAUGUGUGAAUAGAAAUUGAAGCUCUUAUUCUUUUGGUUCUUUUUUUGUUUUGAUUUUGCCUUGUUCUUUUGUGUGGCAUUCUGGCAGUGGACAACUGAUGCUGGUGGCUAAAAGGAGCAAGAUCGGGCUAUUGAGGGUUGUGGCAGAAUGAACUUGCGUGGAAGUUGGCAGUGGCCUAAAGGUUGUUUUUUAAUGUUUUACUGGUUGUUUAUCGAGUAUCACUCGAUUGCUUUCUGUAAUUGUUUUUCAUUGUCCUUGUUUUGUUC